GGGGGCGUACUGGUUUCGACAGGGGUAGUUGUGGCAUCGAUAGCGAGCCGGGGUUCCAUCAGCCCGUCAAUACGGUGGACAAUAGUAACUGCUAACAACGAAUACGCUUUAGCAGCUUAAUGCUAACGUUCUACCUAGCUUUGCCCACGGGCCGGGAUAGGACGUCAUACAGUGGGAUACCGAAGACCUUAUUCUCGGCGGGCCUUGGGGAAUUUUAUCGAGAUAGCGCUAGCGAAGCCUGUCAGUAGGCGUCAACGGUGCGAAGUUUAAAUUACUGACUGCGCUCGGAGAAGUCGUUGUAGCAAUGCUUUUGGACAGGAGUUCGAUUCUCCUCGCCUCCACCA
rfam:Anaerosporomusa subterraneum strain RT4 RT4_contig_6, whole genome shotgun sequence.